rnacentral:rRNA from 1 species
AGCAGCAGCCGCGGUAAGACGGAGGGUGCUAGCGUUGUUCGGAAUCACUGGGCGUAAAGGGCUCGCAGGCGGUUUCUUAAGUCUGAUGUGAAAGCCCCCGGCUCAACCGGGGAGGGUCAUUGGAAACUGGGAAACUUGAGUGCAGAAGAGGAGAGUGGAAUUCCACGUGUAGCGGUGAAAUGCGUAGAGAUGUGGAGGAACACCAGUGGCGAAGGCGACUCUCUGGUCUGUAACUGACGCUGAGGAGCGAAAGCGUGGGGAGCGAACAGGAUUAGAUACCCCGGUAGUCCCUGUCUCUUAUAC